CAGCUGGAAAGAGAAGAGAGAGAGAGAGAGAAUACUCCUGCUGACUUAAGACUUCAGACUCGUAACUAUUACUUCACUGGAAUACGCUAAAGAAAUAUUGUAUGUUAUUAUCAAUAAACAUCUACUUCAUGUGGAGUUGAGUUGUGAGAAAGUGUGGGCCUGAAACUACUGACAGCCCACAGAACCAGGCCAGACACUACAAAGUUCUGCAGGAGCUAUACAAAUCCAGGCCCAGGCCCAACAAGAAGGAUGUUGCCCAGCUGUUGAACCUGGAAUACCAAGCAAGACGGGCUUACAUCGACUCUGAUGUUAUGAAGGAGCAUGACAGACCUACCAAGAUUCUUCAAGCAUAUCCCUGCUUCAGAGAAGUGGAUAAUAUAAUGGAUGAACUGCAGCGGAUCCUCAAUCAAGAAAACCCCCACUUCAUACCUGAACUGAAGAACCGCUGGAGGACCUUUUGUGAGAAGAUCCAGCUUUAUGGCAUUUUCAAAAAAGUCAUGAGACCUCCACUGGCUGAUAAAGUCUGUGGAAGACCCCAACACUUUUCUGAACGCAAGACCACUCUCCAGCCCUGUGGUGAUCGUCUGUGAGAGCAAUUGCAUUCUGGCCAUCGGAACCAUGCCUGUGCUGAUCUUCCCAAAGGAGGACAUCUCAGACAGUGUGAUGUCCAUCAUGGCAUGCUACUACAUCUUUCACCUCACAUACCCCAAGUGCAUAGCCACACUCCUCUCUGUGCUGCAGACAGAAGUCCUCAUGGAUGCCAUCCAUGACCGAGACAUGACUUCUUCAUAUAAAAAAAGCCAUGGCUGAGUAGAGGAAGUUCACUGAAUAGGCUUGUAGAUUGUUCUGUAGAUCCAGUAAAUGUUGGAUGAGUUGGUUUGUUCAGGUCUUGGCGUUUGUUCAGGGCUCCUCAGAGCACUUUCUUCUGUAAAAUGUUUUUGAUACAGAUGGGAAUGU